rnacentral:rRNA from 1 species
UACAGGGGGUGCAAACGUUGCUCGGAAUUAUUGGGCGUAAAGCGCGCGUAGGCGGUAUCGCAAGUCGGAUGUGAAAUCCCUCGGCUUAACUGAGGAAGUGCAUCCGAAACUGCGAAACUAGAGUACCAAAGAGGAUCGCGGAAUUCCCGGUGUAGAGGUGAAAUUCGUAGAUAUCGGGAGGAACACCAGCGGCGAAGGCGGCGAUCUGGGUGGAAACUGACGCUGAGGCGCGAAAGUGUGGGGAGCAAACAGG